rnacentral:rRNA from 1 species
AUUGAACGCUGGCGGCAGGCCUAACACAUGCAAGUCGAACGGGAACAGGAAGAAGCUUGCUUCUUUGCUGACGAGUGGCGGACGGGUGAGUAAUGUCUGGGAAACUGCCUGAUGGAGGGGGAUAACGACUGGAAACGGUAGCUAAUACCGCAUAACGUCGCAAGACCAAAGAGGGGGACGUUCGGGACUCUUGGCAUCGGAUGUGCCCAGAUGGGAUUAGCUAGUAGGUGGGGUAACGGCUCACCUAGGCGACGAUCCCUAGCUGGUCUGAGAGGAUGACCAGCUACACUGGAACUGAGACACGGUCCAGACUCCUCCGGGAGGCAGCAGUGGGGAAUAUUGCACAAUGGGCGCAAGCCUGCUGCAGCCAUGCCGCGUGUAUGAAGAAGGCCUUCGGGUUGUAAAGUACUUUCAGCGGGGAGGAAGGGAGUAAAGUUAAUACCUUUGCUCAUUGACGUUACCCGCAGAAGAAGCACCGGCUAACUCCGUG